ACAGCAGUAGCCACGGUAAUACGUAGGUGGCAAGCGUUGUCCGGAAUUAUUGGGCGUAAAGGGCUCGCAGGCGGUUUCUUAAGUCUGAUGUGAAAGCCCCCGGCUCAACCGGGGAGGGUCAUUGGAAACUGGGAAACUUGAGUGCAGAAGAGGAGAGUGGAAUUCCACGUGUAGCGGUGAAAUGCGUAGAGAUGUGGAGGAACACCAGUGGCGAAGGCGACUCUCUGGUCUGUAACUGACGCUGAGGAGCGAAAGCGUGGGGAGCGAACAGGAUUAGAGACCCCCGUAGUCCCUGUCUCUUAUAC
rnacentral:rRNA from 1 species